rnacentral:rRNA from 1 species
CAUGGAGUUUGAUCCUGGCUCAGGAUGAACGCUAGCGGCAGGCUUAACACAUGCAAGUCGAGGGGUAUAGUUCUUCGGAGCUAGAGACCGGCGCACGGGUGCGUAACGCGUAUGCAAUCUACCUUUUACAGAGGGAUAGCCCAGAGAAAUUUGGAUUAAUACCUCAUAGUAUGUGAGAAUCGCAUGGUUUUCACAUUAAAGUUCCAACGGUAAAAGAUGAGCAUGCGUCCCAUUAGCUAGAUGGUAAGGUAACGGCUUACCAUGGCGACGAUGGGUAGGGGUCCUGAGAGGGAGAUCCCCCACACUGGUACUGAGACACGGACCAGACUCCUACGGGAGCAGCAGUGAGGAAUAUUGGACAAUGGGGCGCAAGCCCUGAUCCCAGCCAUGCCGCGUGCAGGAUGACGGUCCUAUGGAUUGUAAACUGCUUUUAUACAGGAAGAAACGACUCUUGCGAGGGGGCAUUGACGGUACUGUAUGAAUAAGCA